rnacentral:rRNA from 1 species
ACCCGCUGAACUUAAGCAUAUCAAUAAGCGGAGGAAAAGAAACCAACAGGGAUUGCCUCAGUAACGGCGAGUGAAGCGGCAAGAGCUCAAAUUUAAAAGCCGACGUAGCUUUAAGAGACGUCCGCAUUGUAAUUUGAAGAGGCAUUCUCGGGUCGGGGCUCAGGCCUAAGUUCCUUGGAAGAGGGCGUCGUGGAGGGUGAGAACCCCGUUCGCGGCCUGCUGUCGACCUUUCCCCGAUCCACACGAGGUGCCAUCGAAGAGUCGAGUUGUUUGGGAAUGCAGCUCAAAGCGGGUGGUAAAUUCCAUCUAAAGCUAAAUAUUGACGGGAGACCGAUAGCGAACAAGUAGAGUGAUCGAAAGAUGAAAAGCACUUUGGAAAGAGAGUUAAACAGCACGUGAAAUUGUUGAAAGGGAAGCGCUUGAGACCAGUCACGGACCGAGGCGAUCAGUGGGACGUCCCUCUCGGGGGAGGAACCGCGCACUCGCUUUUCGGGUUUUCCGGGUCAACAUCGGUUGGGACGGUGUCAGAAAGGUCGCGGGAACGUGGCUCCCUUCACGGGGAGUGUUAUAGCCCGUGGCGUCAAAGUCGCCAGUUUCGACCGAGGACCGCGCUCGUCUUUUCGAGCAAGGAUGUUGACGUAAUGGUCCC